GAGAGAAGCCGGGGGCACUAAGAACUGCUAAUUCUUCAGCACCAUGGUUCAAAUCCAUGGGUCACUCA
rnacentral:tRNA from 1 species